ensembl:snoRNA small nucleolar RNA SNORA40
AGCACGUGUUCAGUUUUUGUCUGUUGCUGUAGACAAAAACCUGGAACCUAGUGCUUAGAAAAAAACCCUUCUUUUGCAACCCACAGCUGAUGAACAUAUUAGUUGUGUUACUUAUAUGAAGGGACAAU